rnacentral:snRNA from 1 species
UGCCAUGAGUGAGUGGCAGUAUCACAGCCAAUGAGGUUAAUCCCAGGCGCGAUUAUUGCUAGUUGAAAACUUUUUCCUAGUGCACACUGACCAGGAAAUAGGGACCUGGCAGUCACUGGUCCCUGUGUUGGG